ensembl:snoRNA small nucleolar RNA U13
AUCCUUUUGUAGUUCAUAUGCAUGAUGAUUGGGUGUUCACGCUCUUGUGUGAGAUGAGCCUCCCACAAAUCUGUUAGGACUUCAGCACAUUAGCCAUCUGACA